CCAAGUUGAAGCCGAAGAUGGCAGGGAUUGACCCUGAUGAUGUUUACUCUGAAGUGCCCUAUGAGAAAGGUUUCCAGUUCCUUUGGAGAAUUGAGCGUGAGAUUGGCAGGCCUACUUUCGACGAGUUUUUAAAGAAGUACAUUGCAACCUUCAAGUUCCAAUCAAUAGAUACAGAGACAUUUCUUGAAUUCCUCAAAACCAAUGUACCUGGGAUAGAAAACAAAAUUGACCUUCACCUGUGGGUUGAGGGGACUGGUAUCCCUCCCGAUGCCAUGGAACCAGAUUCAGCUACUUACAAAAAGAUCUGCUCCUUAGCUGCAGAAUUCAAAUCUGGAAAACUUCCAAGUGAAUAUGA